rnacentral:rRNA from 1 species
GAUCAUGGUUCAGGAUGAACGCUGGCGGCGUGCUUAACACAUGCAAGUCGAACGAAGCACUCUAUUUGAUUUUCUUCGGAAAUGAAGAUUUUGUGACUGAGUGGCGGACGGGUGAGUAACGCGUGGGUAACCUGCCUCAUACAGGGGGAUAACAGUUGGAAACGACUGCUAAUACCGCAUAAGCGCACAGGAUCGCAUGAUCCGGUGUGAAAAACUCCGGUGGUAUGAGAUGGACCCG